CCAAAAUAUACGGCCUUCCCGCCUUCUCCCUCGGUCUCCUUCUUAGGAAUGUGCGCAGCAAAAACCCCGUCUCCCGGGACGGUUCUCCCUUUUUGUCUUCGCCGGGACACCCAGCCGCGGGGGGACGGUUUCCCCGGCUCUGCGGCCAAAGGCAGGCGGCUGGCCCGUAGUCCGACCUCCGCGAGCACUUCUGAGGCAGGCCUAGUGUCCUCGGCCACGUCGGCACCUGUGAAACCUCGAAUGAGUCCUUGCGUCAGCCUCACUGUACUGCUGACGUUCAGGAGCCUCACUCAAUGCCACCAGCCCUCUUUUAUUGCCUCUCCAGUCGCCUCCAAACCAUGGGUCAGGAAAGUUGUUUCAGAAGUGCAGCCCUCAAGCACAACUCGAGUGCAGAAGUGUAUGCGGAAAGGAGGGGGGUUAGGGCAAGCUGAACUUUGCAAAUGUUUUUUCUAUAAGUAGUUCAUGUUUGCUAUGAUCUAUGGUGUGAGUUGGGAACUGAGACUUAUUGCAACCCCAUUCCCUCUGUUGGAUAAUUAAUGCUGAUUCAUAGCAAGUUCUACCUACGAAUGUGUGUUUCGUUUUUCUCUGCAGGGUCCAUGGUUCUUUGGUAUGUUGUUAUUCCCUGAAAGGUUGAGCACAGUGAUUCACAGUACCACUGCAGAGAAGAUCCCGUUCCCACAGGAAAGGAUGGUCCCCACAGGAGAAUGAAGAGGAAACAGAGGGAUAACAUCUAGGCUUAACAAGUUCUCAGACAUCACUGUGUUUUCCAUGUUAGAAUAAAAGGAUCUAGGAAUUUUUAUUUAUGGUGAAUUAGAUGGGAUAUGUGUUAGAUAGAUUGGUGAUGUGUUAAAGGGCAGAGACUGGUCUUAAUUCCAGAUAAUAGGCCCUGUGUCUAAAGGGUACAUCUAACUGUCUUACUAUGUUUACAUACUUCUACUCACCAUGAUUUUCCUAUCACAGUUAGCCAAGAGCCCAAAAAGCAAAACUCAUCUAUGCUGUAUCACCACUGACUUUAAUGUUAGUACAUUAGAAAGGAAAUUGUGCUACACUAUGUGGCUGUGCAGCAAAUAGCUCCAAAAGACUAGACACACGUGUCACCAGUUUUAAUUCUCACUGACCAGAAGGGCUGCCAAUCAUUCUAUACACCUCACCUAUUAAGGGGACCACAAGUUCAUAGAAAAACACCUCAGUGCUGAGAAUCUCUGUCAACAAUGUUUUCCAUGCUGACAGUCUUCAGUAUCAACUCCAAACCUGUCCCCAAGUCCCAUUGACUGAAGGAGAAUGUGGAUGAAGGCAGGAUUCUGCAAAGUACUUUUGCAGGAUGCCAAAUCUGGAGGUGUGAAGUACUCAGCUUUCUAGGUCAUACUGAUAGUAAAUGUGGACAGUCACCACCCUUCCAGUAAACCCUCAGAAAACAAGAAAACAUCAGUCCUUUAAUUCAUACUUUCGUGAUUCACAGCCCCAGCUUUUGUAUGAUAUUUUAAGUAUCUCUCGUGUCAUGGUGGUACAUUCUGCUUUUUCGAAAGCAUUUUUCAAGAUGAACUGGCUUUUCAGUGAUGAAACAUGAUCAAGUUAAUGUACUAAUAGAUUUCAUUUUUAAAGUACAUGCUAAAUUUAAAACUUGUCUCAUGCAUUUAUAAACCAUCACCAAUAGUUCUAUUAAUCAAUGAUACAAAUAGCUCUAGCAGAAGAUUUUCUUUGAUGCAGAGAAACAUAAACAGCAUUGAAAAAACAACACACAAGUGAUUGUUCUGUAUUCUUAUCUUUAGGCUAUAUUAUGAUCAUAAUAAAACAUAUCUAGGCAUAUGUCAUACUGGAUAAUACUAUUUCUUGGGUGUUUCAGGGCACGCAACUACCUUGGACUUCACAACAGCUGAGACUUGUCAUUUAAAAGCAUGGUACUGGCACUACUAAGAAAAAAGCUCCACUAAUAUGUAAUUAUUAACCCAUAUAUUGAGAUUUUUUUAAAAGAAUUGUUUCACACCAAAUACUCAGAUCCUUUUAUUUCUAUUAUUCAUGUGCCAAGCUAAAAAUAAACAUUUGAAAUAUUUUUCUCUUUUAUGGAAGAGAUGAUGACACUAUUCAUUUGAAAUGAACUCUUGGAUGAAUGCAGCUAUAUUUUCUGGGCUCAGAUCUCUUAUUCCCAGUUGAGAACCCCACAUCAGAUGAGGGAAUUUUACUUCAUUUUGCUUCAAAACAUUGACCAAGAAGAGCUUAGGCAAACAGUUUCCAGUCAUUCACAAUAUGUUCAUUUGGGCUUUUAAUUUCAUUACUCUUGAUAUGCUACUGAUUACCUCUCACACUUGCUCUAUUUCCCAAAAGGUUGUUUGAGAUUAUUUAGGAGACUAAAUGAAUAAGAAAAGUGCCCAAGAAAUAUUCCUGUUUCUGCAUACUUUUGUUUUGUACAGGUAUUCACUGACAGCCUGAUCCUGCUUCCCUUCCAUUAGAAGCAGGAUUUGGUCCAUAAAAGAAAUGCAUUAAUCUAAUAUUUGUUCAAAGAAAAAUCCUGUUUCCUUUAAUGUUCACAUGUAUGGUCACAAACAUGAUCAAAACAAGACCCAUCUGAACCCCCUACAGCUGCUUUGCAGCUAGGGUUGCAGCAUGAACCCAGGAACGACCAGUUUUGCCACUGUAGGUUGAUUUCAGCUUUCAAACAUUAUGGAAAAUCAUCAGUUGCCUUUCUUCCCCCUGCUCCUGGUUUAACUUCAGAUCACUUUCCCUGGCAAAUGGCUUUUGUUACUCAAGUAAGAUCAUAUUUUUUGAUCCAAAAGCAAAUUUCAUUUCGUUGUUGUUUCCAGACUUGAUUCAUUGAAGGAGGUCCUGUCUGCAGCCGAUAUGUUCAUGGUAACUGUUCCUGAAAUAAAAAUCUAGCAAGAUUCUUAGUAUUUGAGAGAGUCAUUGCUCUCAUGACACAAUCCUCCAUAAAUGGGAAAAAACAUACAAAUAUCUUGGCCCAACUUUCCUCAGGUACCUAAAAGUUUAACAGACCUUUUUUUAGAUUAACAAGCAUGAAAAGAAUGGGAUUUUGGACCCACUGUGCUGCAAUUAGUAUACUUGUUACGUGGAGGUUUUCCUGGGAAGUGGUAUAUUAUUGUACUGUAUUCUUAAGUUGGAAAUUUAUUCUACUGGAUUUACCACAAAAAUAAGUAAAAUGAAAUAUUUUUUUCCCCUGGUAAUAAAGUGUUUUAAGUCAGAGGAACAACUUAAUUUUCGCUCAGAUCUGAAGAUCUGAACUCUCCUGAAGUCUGAAGUACUAGGAUUAGACAGUUUAGUCUUGAUAUUUCUUUCUGAACGAAAUACUAAAUAAGGCCAUUGCAAUUCCAAUGAAACAUGCUAAAUAAUGUUGAUGUGAACACAAAGAAAAAACAGUCAGAAAUAGUUCAUGGACCUCUUUCUCUUCACUUAAGCAGGAGAAACUCUAGUGAAGUUAAUGGAGUUGCAGUGAUAUAAGACUCUACUAAGGUGAGAAUUACACAACUUGUGUUUAACUCGAUGCUAUUACUUUAAAAACAGAGUUUACUUCACUAAAUAACCUGAAAAUAAACACAAAACAAAGGGCAAAUGAGACAAAUUACAAGUAAGCAUGCAUGCAAAAAAGGUAAGUGCAAAUUAGAUUUGAAUAUUCAUGAGUCACAAAUCAUUGACAGUUUGAAAUAAUGCAAAACAGGUUUAUAAAUGAGGUUAAGGCAAGGGACAUCAAAGAAAGGCAUUGCUAAAUCAAUAGCAAUUUGAUUGUGCAUAUACUUGUAAAUUGUGGUUACAGUUUUUGUGACACAGGAGAAAAAUACUGCACAUGUAGUGAGGAAGGGACACAUAAAUAUCCUUUUUGAAUGUGUUAUUUUUUUGCAAUUCAGCAGGUACCUGGAGGCUUGAUGUGUAUAAAGUGACCAGAUAUCAUUUUUUAAUUUUUCCCCCCAGGAGAAUUAUAGUUUCCUUUGAGUAUCCAAUCUCCUGUGUUGUGUUGCUUAGUAUGACAAAAAAUUCAGUUGUCAACAAUACCUGAAUAGCAAUACUGCAAAAUAGAAUAAUUACUCACUUCAUUUGAUUUCAGUAGAAGACUCACCUGCUAAUGAAAGUCCUGUCAUAAAAUCACAGCCAGUGGAGAUUAUCUACUUGUUUCAGACAAUUUAGCUCUCCAAAGUGGGAAUCAGAAUCCAGGAAGAGAACGGGAGAAGACUAAAGUUCAAAACUGGCCAACUCAUCCAUGCAAUGGAGAGUGGAAUGGAAAUGAAUACAGCAGUAUAGCAAUCUCAUACCUGGUGAAAGGAAGAACUGCUAAGGUGCAUGUUGGAGCAGCCAUGAGGGUGAAGCUUGGCAGUGAGCUUUCUUUAGAAGAAGUCAUGAUUGCAAAAGUACUUGGAAAGAAGAAGGACUAGAGGAUGUGGGCAAAGACAACCUAUCCUUUGCUUGCCUUGAGCCUCUGCCACAGUGGAUGCAAGGUAAAGACGGGAUCCGUUCAGGUUACUGCUAUCGGGCUGGCAGACUCGCUCUCCUGGGUCCACCCCAUGACUGAUUCAUUACCAUUACCCUCACCAGUGUUGUGUGCUGUAUAGCAAGUCCCAGUCCCACAUAAAGCCUUUGUCACCUUGGCAUUGAGCAGAUAAUGCUGGUGGCAUUGUAUUACUAGAUGCCUUUUCCUGAUAAUUUUAAGACUCACACUCUAAGUCCUAAAAUGCUAUAAAAGUUUUUGUCCUGUUUCUCUGUCCAAUGAGCCAAACCUAAAACUGAGUGGAGUCAAUGAGACCACUUCAUUGACUGGGAUAGGUGGUGGUUCAUAAGAAAAAACUCCUGAUAUUUUCUAGGGAAAAAAAAUCAAACCAAACCAGACCAAACCAAACCAACCAACCAACCCCCAAAAACAUUAAAAUUCUUGUUUGGACAUUUAUACUUUAAAACCAGCAAUCUUCAUAUGUGUUUAUUUGAUCUGUAAUAUUUCAGGCAUCUAUCAAAAGCCCCAAGUAAAUAACAUGGUUGAUCUGAAUCUGCAGAAUUUGAUGAAGUAGAUUGUAUGGAAUGUACCUAUAUUUCAACAAUAGCAUUUCACUACAUUUGCUGGUAUAUUUUUAGUUUAUGAAUGCUUCCUUCAUUUGGAGAAAUUAUUUCAAUAGUCUCAUUCAGUAGUUGUAAUUUGUACCAGCAUAAAUAUAUUAAACUUGUCAUCAGGUGUUUUAGCAUCUGUUUUAAAACUUACAUUAUAUAUGACGUUAUUUCAUAUAUGUAUAUAAAAGAAUAGUUCUUAUUAUUGUCAGCUUGUAAUAAUGUUCAGCCACGGAUUACUCUGUUUGAUGGAAGAGUAAAGACACUUGGAUGUCUAAUUCUUCAUUAGUCUUUUCCUUGCUGUAAUGAGCAAAGGUGUAAAUAUUAACACCUCUGAUUUUCAAGCAUUAGUUUAACCUAUCAUCCAUAAAUUCAAUUUCAUAAAGGCAUUCUACUUCAAAAUUGAACUACUUUAGCCUUAGUGAGUAAUUUGACUUCAAUCUUUGAU